rnacentral:rRNA from 1 species
CCUACGGGAGGCAGCAGUGAGGAAUAUUGGUCAAUGGGCGGGAGCCUGAACCAGCCAAGCCGCGUGAGGGAAGAAGGUACAGCGUAUCGUAAACCUCUUUUGUCAGGGAACAAAGUCGGGGACUAGUCCACGGAUGAGGGUACCUGAAGAAAAAGCAUCGGCUAACUCCGUGCCAGCAGGCGCGGUAAUACGGAGGAUGCGAGCGUUAUCCGGAUUUAUUGGGUUUAAAGGGUGCGCAGGCGGCCUGUUAAGUCAGCGGUAAAAGCCCGGGGCUCAACCCCGGCGAGCCGUUGAAACUGGCGGGCUGGCGUUGGAGAGAAGUACGCGGAAUGCGCGGUGUAGCGGUGAAAUGCUUAGAUAUCGCGCAGAACCCCGAUUGCGAAGGCAGCGUACCGGCUCCACACUGACGCUGAGGCACGAAAGCGUGGGUAUCGAACAGGAUUAGAUACCCCGGUAGUC